AACGUUCCCUAGUUUGCCUAGUUUAAAAUCCUAGGAAACGCAACUGUGUGGUAAACAUUUAAGGUUUAUAUGCUCUUAUCCGUUUUGUGUUUUUGCAUGUUUUGUCCGGAGGUUGAGUUAUAUUUGUAUAAUUUGUUUUAAAGUUUUUGAAUUGUGGUAUUUUUUAAAUGAUUUUCUUUUUAUUUAUUUUUAGUUGCUAUAAACCUGAC
rnacentral:lncRNA from 1 species